GUCCUGGGUAGCUCAGCUGGUCAGAGCAUGGUGCUGAUAACACCAAGGUUGCAGGUUCAAGCCCCAUGUGGGACA